rnacentral:rRNA from 1 species
GGAUGAACGCUGGCGGCGUGCCUACCACAUGCAAGUCGAGCGAAGCGCUUAAAUUAGAUUUCUUCGGAAUGACGAUUUUUGUGACUGAGCGGCGGACGGGUGAGUAACGCGUGGGUAACCUGCCUCAUACAGGGGGAUAACAGUUAGAAAUGACUGCUAAUACCGCAUAAGACCCCAGCUUCGCAUGAAGCGGUGGUAAAAACUCCGGUGGUAUGAGAUGGACCCGCGUCUGAUUAGCUAGUUGGUAAGGUAACGGCUUACCAAGGCGACGAUCAGUAGCCGACCUGAGAGGGUGACCGGCCACAUUGGGACUGAGACACGGCCCAGACUCCUACGGGAGGCAGCAGUGGGGAAUAUUGCACAAUGGGGGAAACCCUGAUGCAGCGACGCCGCGUGAAGGAUGAAGUAUUUCGGUAUGUAAACUUCUAUCAGCAGGGAAGAAAGUGACGGUACCUGACUAAGAAGCCCCGGCUAACUACGUG